AAUUUUCAUCGGUAAAGCUGCCGAAAGGCAGUGACACAAAGCCAAGGGUCUAAAGUCUUACAUAAGACUAUGACAGCCGGUUGCCACA
rfam:Anaerostipes sp. CAG:276 genomic scaffold, scf120